rnacentral:lncRNA from 1 species
AUGACUAAAAAAACCAUUGCCAAGAACACGACCUCACUCCAGGCACAAAUAAUGGAUUCUGCAAAUGGGAUAUUCAGUAAAUGUUUCACUGCAUGGUUCAAGAAGUCCCCAACAAGAAAUACAAUGAGUGCCGAAGAAAAGGUUCACAGAUGCAAACCUCAGACACCUAUUGAGACAGUUCUCUUCAGUUCAUCUCCGCAGCCUACUGAGGAGACGGGGAGUUAA